rnacentral:rRNA from 1 species
UCUUCGGAUUGAAGUUUUUGUGACUGAGCGGCGGACGGGUGAGUAACGCGUGGGUAACCUGCCUCAUACAGGGGGAUAACAGUUAGAAAUGGCUGCUAAUACCGCAUAAGCGCACAGGACCGCAUGGUCUGGUGUGAAAAACUCCGGUGGUAUGAGAUGGACCCGCGUCUGAUUAGCUAGUUGGAGGGGUAACGGCCCACCAAGGCAACGAUCAGUAGCCGGCCUGAGAGGGUGAACGGCCACAUUGGGACUGAGACACGGCCCAGACUCCUACGGGAGGCAGCAGUGGGGAAUAUUGCGCAAUGGGGGAAACCCUGAUGCAGCGACGCCGCGUGAAGGAAGAAGUAUCUCGGUAUGUAAACUUCUAUCAGCAGGGAAGAAAAUGACGGUACCUGACUAAGAAGCCCCGGCUAACUACGUGCCAGCAGCCGCGGUAAUACGUAGGGGGCAAGCGUUAUCCGGAUUUACUGGGUGUAAAGGGAGCGUAGACGGAAGAGCAAGUCUGAUGUGAAAGGCUGGGGCUUAACCCCAGGACUGCAUUGGAAACUGUUUUUCUAGAGUGCCGGAGAGGUAAGCGGAAUUCCUAGUGUAGCGGUGAAAUGCGUAGAUAU